rnacentral:rRNA from 1 species
UGGGGAAUAUUGCACAAUGGGCGCAAGCCUGAUGCAGCCAUGCCGCGUGUAUGAAGAAGGCCUUCGGGUUGUAAAGUACUUUCAGCGGGGAGGAAGGUGUUGAGGCUAAUAACCUCAGCAAUUGACGUUACCCGCAGAAGAAGCACCGGCUAACUCCGUGCCAGCAGCCGCGGUAAUACGGAGGGUGCAAGCGUUAAUCGGAAUUACUGGGCGUAAAGCGCACGCAGGCGGUCUGUCAAGUCGGAGGUGAAAUCCCCGGGCGCAACCUGGGAACUGCAUUCGAAACUGGCAGGCUAGAGUCUUGUAGAGGGGGGUAGAAUUCCAGGUGUAGCGGUGAAAUGCGUAGAGAUCUGGAGGAAUACCGGUGGCGAAGGCGGCCCCCUGGACAAAGACUGACGCUCAGGUGCGAAAGCGUGGGGAGCAAACA